AAUGGAACCAUCAACUUCUUUAAGAAAAAAAGAAAGAAAUAAAGGAGACUCUUAGGUUAUCCCCAACGGAGGUUCUUAGAGAGGUUUUAGUGGAGAAAAAAAAAAUCAGAUUAUACAAAAAAAUUUAAGUGAGGCUCUUAUAUUACAUAUUCUUUUAUGGUUUAAGAGCUUGUACGUGUCGAGUGUUCGUUGGCUGGACAAAAAAAUAGAAGAACCAAAAAAACAUUUGUUUCACACGAUUAAUUUUUUUUCUCUCUUGAUCUCUCUCUCAAUUGUUUCUCUCUCGAUCGAAAUCCAGUCUUGAUAAAAGGAAAGAGAAGGAUAUGUUUCAGCUGUGUAAUCAGAGGCGAUUGUGGUAGGAGGAGAGACGAAGCCGAAGGGGUUUAAUCUCGGAGGCGAAUCGGAGGAUAUUGAUUUGAGUUUGGAAUCGGGUCAUUCAGAUGAGGUUGAAGCAACUAGAAUCGAAGGAGGCAAACGGAAAGAGUAAAGAGAGAUAAAGCUCAAACAAGAAGAAUGGAUGAUGCAGCUCCGACAGUUCAACCACAUGGCUAAAGAAGUUGUUGCUGCUGUUCAGAAAUCUGCUAUUGAUGCUAGGAGAAACAUUGUUCAAGUUCCUAUGACCAAGUACUCCACUUUCCCCACAGGUGGGAAUUCUUCAUCAGAGGCUUCGUUUUCCAGUAUAGAGCCGAGAGUUUUCCUCAAUAUGCUGAAAGUUUUGUCAUCCUACACCCAGAGAAUUUGCGUUUCAGUCAUACAACAAGAUCAAAGAGAGAGAGAGAGUAAUGUAAAUGUAAGGAUUUUAUUUACCUAAGAGACUCAAAAUAAAAACCUACCAAUUGGGGGGAAAACUUUUAAUUAACAAACUCAAAAUUCUUAAUCAUCUCAAACUACUAAAUAUAUAAAUAAACUAUUUAAGAGCCCC